rnacentral:rRNA from 1 species
UACGUAGGGAGCAAGCGUUGUCCGGAAUCAUUGGGCGUAAAGCGCGCGUAGGUGGCCACAUAAGUCCGUUGUGAAAGUCAAAGGCUCAACCUUUGAAAGCCGAUGGAUACUGUGUGGCUAGAGUACGGAAGAGGCGAGUGGAAUUCCUGGUGUAGCGGUGGAAUGCGCAGAUAUCAGGAGGAACACCAAUAGCGAAGGCAGCUCGCUGGGACGUUACUGACACUGAGGCGCGAAAGCGUGGGGAGAGAACAGG